GGCUGUAUUCACCGAGCAGCUGGCCCCUGUUUACUGGCAGAAUGUCGUAACCUGAACGGCUGUGAAACUGGACAUGCAAAAAUCACAUGUGGCUAUGACCUGCCGGCAAAAUAUGUGAUCCACACUGUAGGACCAAUAGCCAGAGGCCAUAUUAAUGGUUCCCAUAAGGAAGACCUUGCAAAUUGCUAUAAAUCAUCUCUGAAGCUGGUGAAAGAAAAUAACAUCCGAUCAGUUGCAUUUCCCUGCAUCUCAACCGGCAUUUAUGGAUUCCCGAAUGAGCCUGCUUCCAUCGUUGCCCUCAGCACCAUUAAGGAAUGGCUGGCCAAGAAUCAUCACGAG